CAGCCGCCACGGGAAUACGUAGGGUGCAAGCGUUAAUCGGAAUUACUGGGCGUAAAGCGUGCGCAGGCGGUUUUGUAAGACAGAGGUGAAAUCCCCGGGCUCAACCUGGGAACUGCCUUUGUGACUGCAAGGCUAGAGUACGGCAGAGGGGGAUGGAAUUCCGCGUGUAGCAGUGAAAUGCGUAGAUAUGCGGAGGAACACCGAUGGCGAAGGCAAUCCCCUGGGCCUGUACUGACGCUCAUGCACGAAAGCGUGGGGAGCAAACAGGAUUAGAUACCCCGGUAGUCCCUGUCUCUUAUAC
rnacentral:rRNA from 1 species